rnacentral:rRNA from 1 species
CUCCUACGGGAGGCAGCAGUAAGGAAUAUUGCGCAAUGGGCGAAAGCCUGACGCAGCGACGCCGCGUGGGGGAUGAAGGUCUUCGGAUUGUAAACCCCUUUCGGGAGGGAAGAUGGAGCGAGCAAUCGUUCGGACGGUACCUCCAGAAGCAGCCACGGCCAACUUCGUGCCAGCGCCGCGG